CUUCUCCCCCCAUCCUCUCUCUCCUCUCAUUUUCUUUCUCUCCUGUCCAGCUCCCCCACCCUGCCGCCGCCACCACCCCGCACCAGCCGCUCCUACUCACUGUGGCGGCGUUAUCCUUGGCGCCGCCGGAGAUGGGAUCCUCCACGCGCGCCUUGCCGGGGAUGUGGUUCUCCUCUCGCGCCGCGGGGGAUAGGGUCCUCUGCUCGUGCGCCACCAUCGAGGACGAGGUCCUCCGCUCGUGCAUGCCGGAAGCGCUCCCGCCGCCGCUGCCGGGGAUGGGGUCCUCCGCGCGCUUACGCCGCCAGGGAUAGAGUCCUCCGCGCACGCAUGUUGCCGGGACGGGGUCCUCUGUGGACUGCGUGUUUGGGCCACAAUAGCCAUGAGAUUUGCUGCGGACAGGCCAUAGCAUCCUAGAUCUACAGCGGCGCUAAGAUCCUCAGUGCGCAGGUCAUGCCUCAGCAGCGAGAAGGCAAAGGGCCCAGACCCUACGCGGAGAAGGUGGCGAUGGAGGAGGAUCCCGCGUGACCGCACCUCUCCCUGGUCCACAACCUCACGCGACAGCGCCACCUCUCCGCUCAUCCGCUCCGCCGGUCUUCUCUGCCUCUCGUCAUCUCCUCUACCCUGGUAAUUUCUUCUCUCCCUUUUGUCUUCAUGCCUACCCCUCUACUACUCGAGCCUCCCCUUUGCGGCUCGUGCUGUCGUGCAUUUUCUGCUCUACGUACUUCUCAUGCAAAACUCCGCUCUACUGAUUGGUAAUGGGGACAAUGUGUUGAAAAUAACUCUAGCGUGAUACGAAUUUGAAAAGUUUGUUCUAAUUAAGCAUAUAGUAAUUCCCAUACAAGGAUAAACUAGGAGUCUUGAUUUACCAUGCGGAUGGCGUACCAUGUGCUGCUCCUGGUUGAUUGAUGCAGCAAAAUCACGCCUAGCUGAGCGUGGAGAAAAUUUUGGAUUGACAUCUUUAAGGGUUGUCAGCCAAUCCAGAACUUACAUUAUUCUAGUUUCUGCACUCAAAUUUAUGCAAUUUAUGCCUUGUUUACUGAUGCUUUGGUAUGAUGAGUUUUCAUGCUUGCAAGACAAUUGCAAAGCUCAGGCAGGAUAUCGUUUGUGAUGGAUGUAUUAUGCUCGGACAUAGGUAUUUCAGAGUAGCACUGGAAGUUCUAAAGCUAGCAGCAUCAAAUGGCAAGCUCUUCCAGGUGCUAUGCACAGGAAGGUAUGCUUGAGGCCAGUGGCAGAACGUGACCCAAGAGCAAGGGGGGGCCAAAUUGCAGCACGUGGCUACUAGCUGUGGAUUUUGAAUGGACAAUAAUACAACGGAGGGCUAUGCGUUGAUGGGAUAUUAGAAAAUUUGCUUUGCGCAAGUAGGGCCAGAACCCAGUUUCGUCUCUACUGAGGUUCGUCCCUGCUUGAGGCCAUCUCAAUUCAGGCAUUAGCUCAGGCUAUGGUGCUCUUUUCAAGCUUCUGGACUUCUGGAUCAAACUAUCAGAUGAUCCAAUAAGUAGUAUUCACCAACAUGGCUAAAAAGUGAAAAGUCAAGGUUUAGUUCCAGUAGAAUGCCAUUAGGUUCAGCUUAUGUACUAAUUCAGAUCAGUAGCGUUAGGAACGCUGAAAAUAAGGUAGCAGAUUAGAGGAGGCACUGUGAUGUAUGUAUGAGCACAGAUGUAUGAACAGAUGAAUGUAUGUGUGAUCAGGGGAGGCACUGCGAUGUCUAUAUGGCCUUUUUUUAUCAA